rnacentral:rRNA from 1 species
UUAUCUAUAUUACUGCUACGUUCGCGCACGCAGGCUGUCUACUAAGACCGAUGUUAAAUCCCCGUUCUUAACCUGCGAACUGUUCCCGACUGGCUUGCUUUUGUCUCGUACAGGGGGGGACAAGUCCCGGUGUACCGGUGAAAUGGGUGAAGACUUGGAGGAAUACCGGCGUCCAACGGGGUCCCCUGGACGAAGACUGACUCUCUUGCCGAACGGCGCGGGGAGCAAACAGGAUUAGAUACCCUGGGACUGACGCACUAAACCAUGUAUUCUUGGAGGUUGUUCCCUUGAGCCAUGGCUUCCGGAUCUCCGCGUGCCCCAAACCGCCUGGGGACUACGGCCGCAUCGCUAAAACUCAAAUGAAUUGACGGGGGUCCGCACAACCGCUGAAUAAUGCGCUUGAAUUCCAUGUUGCGCGGACAACCUUACCUACUCUUGACAUCCAACGAACUUGGCAUACAUGCCUUGGGGCCUUCUGGAACGCUGAGACCCGGGCUGCAUGCCUGUCGGCAACUCCCGCUGUGAAAUGUUGGGUUAAGGCCCGCACCAACCGGGACCCUUAUCCUGUGUUGUCCCCGAUUCUUYCGGGAACUCAGAGGAUACUGCCGGUGAUGAACCGCUUGAAGGUGGGGAUGACUCCAAAUCAUCAUGGCCCUUACGCUAGGGCUACACUCGUGCUACCUGGCGCAUACUAAGACAGCGACCUCACAAGAGCAAGCGGAGCUCACAAAGUGCGUUUACUACGGAUCUAACUCUGCAACUCGACUGCGUUAACUCCCAAUCACU